UCGCCUGNUUUUACAAAAACAUUUCUAUAAGAAAUAUUAUAUAGUAAGAUCUGCUCAAUGAUAAUUAAAUAGCCGCAUUUCGUGCUAAGGUAGCAUAAUCAUUUGUCUUUUAAUUGAGGACUAGAACAAAAGAUCUAACAUUUUAAUCUAUAUCUAUAAUAUAAUAUUCAAAUUUACUAUAAAUGUAAAAAAGCAUUUUCAUAAAAGAAAGACGACAAGACCCUAUUGAACUUAACUUUAGUUUUACUGGGGCAGUAAAUCAAUUAUUAUUUUAAUUUAUAAAAUAUUAUAAAUAUCCAAUCCAAUUGAAUAAUUCAGUUACCAUAGGGAUAACAGCGUAAUUAAUUUUACGAGACCUUAUCUAAAAAAUAGAUUGCGACCUCGAUGUUGAAUUAAUAACCUAAAAUAAGUAAAAGUUAAAAAGGAAGUCUGUUCGACUUUUAAAAAAUUACAUGAUCUGAGUUCAAAACCGGA
rnacentral:rRNA from 1 species